GAUGAACGCUGGCGGCGUGCCUAAUACAUGCAAGUCGAGCGAACAGACGAGGAUCUUGCUCCUCUUACGUUAGCGGCGGACGGGUGAGUAACACGUGGAUAACCUACCUAUAAGACUGGGAUAACUUCGGGAAACCGGAUCUAAUACCGGUUCAUAUAUUGAACCGCAUGGUUCAAUAGUGAAAAACGGUUUUGCUGUCACUUAUAGAUGGUUCCUCGCCGCAUUAGCUAGUUGGUAAGGUAACGGCUUACCAAGGCGACGAUGCGUAGCCGACCUGAGAGGGUGAUCGGCCACACUGGAACUGAGACACGGUCCAGACUCCUACGGGAGGCAGCAGUAGGGAAUCUUCCGCAAUGGGCGAAAGCCUGACGGAGCAACGCCGCGUGAGUGAUGAAGGUCUUCGGAUCGUAAAACUCUGUUAUCAGGGAAGAACAAAUGUGUGAGUAACUAUGCACGUCUUGACGGUACCUAAUCAGAAAGCCACGGCUAACUACGUG
rnacentral:rRNA from 1 species